rnacentral:rRNA from 1 species
UGAAUACGAGACGCUAAGGCGUUGAAGUAGUGUAUGUCAUACUUCCAAGAAAAGCUUGCACUGUCAUAGAUAAAAAACGCCUGUACCAUAACCGACACAGGUGGGUAGGUAGAGUAUACUAAGGGGCGCGAGAUAACUCUCUCUAAGGAACUCGGCAAAAUAACUCCGUAACUUCGGGAGAAGGAGUGCCUUAUUUAUAAGGCUGCAAUAACAAGAUCCAAGCAACUGUUUAUCAAAAACACAGGUCUCCGCUAAGUCGUAAGACGAUGUAUGGGGGCUGACGCCUGCCCAGUGCCAGAAGGUUAAAGAAGUUGGUUAGCAAUAGCGAAGCUGAUAACUGAAGCCCUGGUGAACGGCGGCCGUAACGAUAACGGUCCUAAGGUAGCGAAAUUCCCUGUCGGGUAAGUUCCGACCCGCACGAAAGGCGUAAUGAUUUGGAUACUGUCUCGGAGAGGGGCUCGGUGAAAUAGACUUGUCUGUGAAGAUGCGGACUACCUGCACCAGGACAGAAAGACCCUAUGAAGCUUUACUGUAACUUGAAAUUGAAAUUGGACUUUAUUCGCGCAGUAUAGGUGGGAGGCGUUGAUUGUAAUCUUGCGGGAUUAUUGGAGCCAUCAGUGAGAUACCACCCUUGUAAUGUUAGAUUUCUAACUUUGAAUCAUUAUCUGGUCAAAGAACAGUUUCAGGCGGGCAGUUUGACUGGGGCGGUCGCCUCCUAAACGGUAACGGAGGCGUACAAAGGUUUCCUCUGAACGGUUAGAAAUCGUAUCUAGAGUGUAAAGGCAUAAGGAAGCUUGACUGUGAGACCUACAAGUCGAGCAGGGACGAAAGUCGGUCUUAGUGAUCUGACGGUACUGAGUGGAAAGGCCGUCACUCAACGGAUAAAAGUUACUCUAAGGAUAACAGGCUGAUCUCCCCCAAGAGUUCACAUCGACGGGGAGGUUUGGCACCUCGAUGUCGGCUCAUCGCAUCCUGGGGCGGUAGUACGUCCCAAGGGUUGGGCUGUUCGCCCAUGAAAGCGGUACGCGAGCUGGGUUCAGAACGUCGUGAGACAGUUCGGUCCAUAUCCGGUGUAGGCGUUAGAAUAUUGAGAGGAGCCUUCUUUAGUACGAGAGGACCGAGAAGGACAUACCUCUGGUGUACCAGUUAUCGUGCCAACGGUAAACGCUGGGUAGCUAUGUAUGGAGUGGAUAACCGCUGAAAGCAUCUAAGUGGGAAGCCCACCUCAAGAUAAG